rnacentral:rRNA from 1 species
GAUGAACGCUGGCGGCGUGCCUAAUACAUGCAAGUCGAGCGAACGGACGAGAAGCUUGCUUCUCUGAUGUUAGCGGCGGACGGGUGAGUAACACGUGGAUAACCUACCUAUAAGACUGGGAUAACUUCGGGAAACCGGAGCUAAUACCGGAUGAUAUUUUGAACCGCAUGGUUCAAAAGUGAAAGACGGUCUUGCUGUCACUUAUAGAUGGAUCCGCGCUGCAUUAGCUAGUUGGUAAGGUAAUGGCUUACCAAGGCAACGAUGCAUAGCCGACCUGAGAGGGUGAUCGGCCACACUGGAACUGAGACACGGUCCAGACGCCUACGGGAGGCAGCAGUAGGGAAUCUUCCGCAAUGGGCGAAAGCCUGACGGAGCAACGCCGCGUGAGUGAUGAAGGUCUUCGGAUCGUAAAACUCUGUUAUUAGGGAAGAACAUAUGUGUAAGUAACUGUGCACAUCUUGACGGUACCUAAUCAGAAAGCCACGGCUAACUACGUG